AACAAACGCUGGCGGCGUGCCUAAUACAUGCAAGUCGAACGGGGAAAGCUUUCGGGUGAGUACUAGUGGCGCACGGGUGAGUAACGCGUGGAUAAUCUGCCUUAGAGUGGGGGAUAACUAGUCGAAAGAUUAGCUAAUACCGCAUAAGACCACAAGAACUGCGGUUCAAGGGGUCAAAGGUUUUUCGCUCUAAGAUGAGUCCGCGUAAGAUUAGCUAGUUGGUAAGGUAACGGCCUACCAAGGCGACGAUCUUUAACUGGUCUGAGAGGAUGAGCAGUCACACUGGAACUGAGACACGGUCCAGACUCCUACGGGAGGCAGCAGUAGGGAAUAUUGCACAAGGGAGGAAACUCUGAUGCAGCGACGCCGCGUGAGUGAUGAAGGCCUUCGGGUCGUAAAGCUCUGUCGCAGGGGAAUAACACAAUGAAGGUACCCUGUAAGAAAGGAUCGGCUAACUUCGUGCCAGCAGCCGCCGUAACAC
rnacentral:rRNA from 1 species